rnacentral:rRNA from 1 species
CUAAUACCGCGUAAGACCACAGCUUCACAUGGAGCAGAGGUCAAAGGAGCAAUCCGGAUAAAGAUGGGCUCGCGUCCGAUUAGCUAGUUGGUGAGAUAACAGCCCACCAAGGCGACGAUCGGUAGCCGACCUGAGAGGGUGAUCGGCCACAUUGGAACUGAGAAACGGUCCAGACUCCUACGGGAGGCAGCAGUGGGGAAUAUUGGGCAAUGGGCGAAAGCCUGACCCAGCAACGCCGCGUGAGGGAAGAAGGGUUUCGGCUCGUAAACCUCUGUCCUAUGGGACGAAGGAAGUGACGGUACCAUAGGAGGAAGCCCCGGCUAACUACGUGCCAGCAGCCGCGGUAAUACGUAGGGGGCGAGCGUUGUCCGGAAUGAUUGGGCGUAAAGGGCGCGUAGGCGGCCUGCUAAGUCUGGAGUGAAAGUCCUGCUUUCAAGGUGGGAAUUGCUUUGGAUACUGGUGGGCUGGAGUGCAGGAGAGGAAAGCGGAAUUACCGGUGUAGCGGUGAAAUGCGUAGAGAUCGGUAGGAACACCAGUGGCGAAGGCGGCUUUCUGGACUGAAACUGACGCUGAGGCGCGAAAGCGUGGGGAGCAAACAGGAUUAGAUACCCUGGUAGUCCACGCGGUAAAC